AUGCCCGCGGCCACAGUCCACGCGUACACU
rnacentral:piRNA from 1 species